AUGAGCAAGAAAUUGUUCAAGAUAGCAAGAUCACAUUACAUGGUGCACACAUAUGCACACUUCUACGUCAGGUGUGCAUCAAGAGCUAACGCUCACGAUAGCCACGUGGCGCCAGGGAUCGUGUGGAAAAGCUCGUUCCGUAUUGGCGUAUUCGUGUUGUUCUUUUUUUGGUCCUGGUUGGCCCACCACAUUACAGGAGAGCGAGAAGAGCGCCUUGCAUUUGCUUCCCAUUGCACGCAACUUCCCAUCUCUCUCGUUCUUUCCACUGCAGCCGCCGCCGCCGCCGCUAGGGUUGCCGCCGCCAACACCUCCCCAAGCCGUAUUCGCCUCGACGGGUCUCAACCUGCCACGCGGAGUGACUCUCGGAUGCGGACGCUCGAGGGCGAGGGAAGCGCCGCCGCUUUUCAUGGGCGCCGGUUGCUGGUGGCGGCGGGAGGGACGAGCAGGCGUGCGGCAACCUCAAGCUUCUCCCAUGUGCCUGGACACGAGCGGCACAAGGGGUUGAGGAGCAGGGGGCGAUGCCAAGGGCGUGGAGCAGGGGAUUCACAAGCAGAUGCAUAUCAUCAGCAACCCCUGAGACCUCGUGCAACAUCAAGAUGCUGGUGUCCUGCCUCCAUUUGUUCGCCACGGUCGCUGCCUCAUGUCAGGUAUAUGGCGAGGACACAAAUUUGGGUGUCCAGCUCCUUGCCUGCAUGUGCAAAGAAUUCAGAACCUGCAGUGCAGCAGAUGAAGCCAACGCGGACGAUGAUUAACUUCUCUGACCUUAUGUCAGCGCCUAUCCGGCGACGGCGACAGCGAGAGGAGAUGAAGUGGAGGCAACUCGAGGGCCUCCUAGGGGGCCUGGUCCAGUUCUCCCCCGCCGCCUCCUUUGCUCGAUUUGGCGUCCAAAAAAGGUGGGUAAUGCGACGAGUAAUUUAUAUGAACUUUGUUAUGCUCUCGAUUGAUUCUGCUGCCUUUUGCUGCUUUGGGUGCCUGUUGUGGCGGAUCGGUGGCAGCGAGAUCCGCAAGGAGAACGAGGUGGCGCCGCAAGAUGGCAAGAACGGUGUCAGGAUAACUAGCUACAGGUCAUGUUCCAGAAUCCCCCUUCCAACCUUCUCUCCCCAUAGAUUGAAUAUACUCCCUCGGAGGAAAAUUGUGCUGACGAUCUUUUCUAUACUCUCUGGAUUUAUGGUUUAUUCAUGGAAAGGGUGUAAAAUAAUGGGCAAUGGAGGAGCUUUGAAAGUUUGUCAGGGCGGAGAAGAUGGUUCUCAAGACAGAGCUCUGCCGUUUCAGUGGUGCCAAGAUAUACCCGGGGAAUGCAUCAGAUUCGUCCAUUUAGACUCUCGAGUCUUCCUUUUUUCCAACUCAAAGUGCAAGCGCUAUUUCCACAACCAUCUCAAGCCCGGUAAGCUUAUAUGGAAUGCCAUGUACAGGAAGCAGCACAAGAACUAUCUCCUAUUAGGUGAUCUGAUUAGGAAGUGUAAGUACAAUGAUCUGGUAGUUAGAACUUGCACGUAUCAGUACUUCUUCUCCUUGUGCCCCAAGUUUGAUGGAAUAACAACAAGUACUACACACAGGAAAAGAAGCGCUCCUGCUCUAACUCUACCUACCGCGAACCCCGAGCGCCCAAUCUCUGCAUGCACAUCCACCCGUGUGCCCUGUCGUCCGACCAUCGGUGAAUCACCACCGAUAAGUAGCAUCCCUACACCUAUGUACUUCUUUGUUUUUUCCUCUCGCUUCCCUCGGCUCUCUCUCUCUCAUCACGCCUCUUUUUCGUGCUACAGGGAACCUCCAUGGCUGCCGAGCUUUCACCCCCGAGCCUCUGUGACGCACUGCAGGAGACGCCGAUGUGCCGCCACCCAACCUGCCACCGCCAGAUCUCCUCACUCAGCCACCAGAUCUGAGCCCCGUCGUCGUCCCCGUGUCACCUCCAAGUUACCGCUGUCAUGCUCGAAUUUCUCAUGUGGCACGCGUCCCUCCUCGCUGCAGCCGCGCGUUGAACCAACCACGCCGGUUGUCGCUUCGCUAGCCCAGCUUGUCAGGCUGCCUCUAUCAGCCUCCUCCACCAAUUUGGUUCAUGGUCCACGAGGUGAGGAGCACCCAACCAACCCCUAUCCCUACUUCUUGUUAUGCCGAUGA
rnacentral:rRNA from 1 species